rnacentral:rRNA from 1 species
AUUGAACGCUGGCGGUAUGCUUAACACAUGCAAGUCGAACGGUAACAGGUCUUUCGGGAUGCUGACGAGUGGCGGACGGGUGAGUAACGCGUAGGAAUUUGCCUGCUAGAGAGGGACAACCUGGGGAAACUUAGGCUAAUACCUCAUAAUGUCUACGGAUUAAAGUAUGGGACCUUCGGGCCAUACGCUAGCAGAUGAGCCUGCGUUGGAUUAGCUUGUUGGUGGGGUAAAGGCCUACCAAGGCGAUGAUCCAUAGCUGGUCUGAGAGGAUGAUCAGCCACACUGGGACUGAGACACGGCCCAG